rnacentral:rRNA from 1 species
UACGGGAGGGUGCGAGCGUUUGUCCGGAAUCAUUGGGCGUAAAGGGCGCGUAGGUGGCGGGACAAGCGUGCGGUGAAAGCCUGGGGCUCAACCCCGGGUCGGCCGUGCGAACUGUCGAGCUGGAGCACUGUAGAGGCAGGUGGAAUUCCGGGUGGUAGCGGUGGAAUGCGUAGAGAUCCGGAAGAACACCGGUGGCGAAGGCGGCCUGCUGGGCAGUGGCUGACGGCUGAGGCGGCGACAGCGGUGGGGAGCAAACAGG